AUUGGAGAUGGAGAAAAUCCUGUUCUCGUUUAAGUCCCUAUUAUUUUGAUCCACACUUUUUACAUCGCUGCUAUACAGACUGUAUAUAUUUUGUCUUACAGAAAUUGUGAGGAGACAGAACAGGAACACAUCACAGACGUCACAAAUUUCUCCUACUUUUCAACUUCUUACAGUCAUCAGGCUCCGUUCUGGAGUUGCAACUGGGCUGCAUCAACAACACCAAAUACAAAUAUCAGCUCCAAGACAUGAUCGAACAAUCCCACACAGCAACAGUGACUCAACCAAUGGCGUCCGUUUGGGGGUGGGACUAACGGUUUUUCAGACCAGUAGCAGAAAGGGAGCUUGACCGAUGUAUACUGUCACUAUUUGGAAACCAAAUGUGAAGAUUCUUCAAAAAUUCUCCUUUUGUAUUCUACAGAAGAAAAAAAAAAAUCAGCAUACGGGUGAGAGAGGGUGUGAUUUCUGAUGGAAACCACGAAUUUAGACUCCGAAGAGCUCCGGUCGACACACAAGAUUCGUUCUAAAUCCUCUGACGGCAUUUUUGGGCCAUCGUAAAGGCUACUGCAAAAGCUCUCCAAGAGUCCUGGCUUCAUAUCGCAGGCACUGCUGACAGUUGGUAUCGCAGGAACGGUGCAGAUUUGGGCCUCCAACACCUGGUUAGCACAGUAUAAUGCACCCUGCACACAGCCGAGUGACACAGACAUCGCAGGUCACUCUAUAAUCCAACUCUCAUCUAAAGCAGUCCCAGACAGUUUCAAAUCUGCUUGGAGGAGUGCAGCAAAGCAAUCUCCCAGGCAGCGCUCUACUGCUUUCAUCACACAAACUCACAGCACGGCAUGAAUUACAACAGCUUUCUGUCUGCCGCCCGCCUCCCGGAGCACAGGGAACUGGAAAGGGGGAAAAAACAUGCCUGCCUCCCUCUCAUUCGCUCUAAUGCUCCCCUUUCUCUCUCUUCCUUUUACUCUGACGCUCUAGGUUCUGCCUCUCUCUUUCUCACUGUCUUUUCUCUCCACAGCCUCUGUCUUUUAUUGGCUCCAGGGCUCAAAAGCCACCAUCAAGUUUAAUCCCAAACUCCAUCUGCAAACACAAGCAGUUACAUACGCUGUCAUCUUAGACACAGCAUGGGAUUAUCAAAGAGACAUUUACUCAAGAGCCGACGGGAUGACGGGGGUGGUCGCGCACACUCUCGCCGUCUGUAGAUAGACUUCUGAUGACAACAGCGCUCGGCCGCAGUAUCCAGCAGGCGUGUUAUUGUGCACACACCUCCCGCUUAUCUGAGCUUACUGGGCCUAAGCACUCACAAACACUAUUCAUGGCACAAAGAGGAAAGAAGAUGUCACAGAAAACGACGUCGUUUACGAGCUUUCAGCCCAUGUGCCUGUGUACCUUGAUCUCAAAAGUCUGUCAAAUUACCUACAGACUGAACCUUUUUUAUUAUUUAAUGGCCAAUAACAGCAAAUGAGCAUUUAAAAACUUUACACACCUCAUAAAGCCAAGACAUAAUAAACACAGAUAAUUACUCCCUGUAGCAUGCGCAUCACAAACAAAAGAUCGGUAAGACCACAAUAUAGGUUGCAUUUCAUUUUUUCUUCUGAAAAUAUCCUAUCUUGAUAUCUUGAUAUUUAUUUAUUUAUUUGGCCUGAAACAGCAUCUUUAUUUGCUUUUUAUUUUUUUAUUUUCAAAGGAACCACCAUUUUGACAAAUUAAAAGUGUUUAAAUGCAAACUUUUUUGUAAAAAUCUAGUUAAAAGCAUUCAUAUUUCUCCACAAAUAUAACAAUAUUUAGCAAAAAUUAAAAUAAAACAUUUUAAUAUAUAAAAAAAAUGAUGCACCCAUGAACAGUUUUUGAGCAAUGGUACAAAUUAAUCAUUUUGAUUCAUUGAAAUGGACAGUUUGAAAUGGUUUACAGAAAUGAAUUAAGCUAACCAACUCAAAUGCUGUUUUCACUACUGAAGUUUACAUUUUCUUGAGGCAAUAAAGGGUUGUGAAACUACUCUAAUUACAUAGUCUUUCAGACAAAAUAAAAGUGCACUAAAAUCAUUGCAAUAUUCUCAAUAUUGCCAGCAAAAUCAUCACAAAUAUAACAUGAAUAUUCAGUAUAUCACCCUGCCCUCACUGUAAAAAA